UUAAGUGACUAAGCGUACAAGGUGGAUGCCUUGGCAAUCAGAGGCGAAGAAGGACGUGCUAAUCUGCGAAAAGCUUGGAUGAGUCGAUAAGAGGCGUUUAAUCCAAGAUAUCCGAAUGGGGAAACCCAGUAGAUGAAGAAUCUACUAUCAACAAGUGAAUUCAUAGCUUGUUGAGGCAAACCGGGAGAACUGAAACAUCUAAGUACCCCGAGGAAAAGAAAUCAACCGAGAUUUCGUCAGUAGCGGCGAGCGAAAGCGAAAGAGCCAGUAAGUGAUAGCAGUAUAGUUAGGAGAAUGUGUUGGGAAGCACAAUCAAAGAGGGUGAUAAUCCCGUAUCUAAAAACCAUAUUGUGGUACUAAGCUAACGAGAAGUAGGGCGGGACACGUGAUAUCCUGUUUGAAGAAGGGGGGACCAUCCUCCAAGGCUAAAUACUCCUGAUUGACCGAUAGUGAACCAGUACUGUGAAGGAAAGGCGAAAAGAACCCCGGUGAGGGGAGUGAAAUAGAACCUGAAACCUUGUACGUACAAGCAGUGGGAGCCUGAAAGGGUGACUGCGUACCUUUUGUAUAAUGGGUCAGCGACUUAUAUUUUGUAGCGAGGUUAACUGAAUAAGGGAGCCGAAGGGAAACCGAGUCUUAACUGGGCGAGUAGUUGCAAGGUAUAGACCCGAAACCCGGUGAUCUAGCCAUGGGCAGGUUGAAGGUUGGGUAACACUAACUGGAGGACCGAACCGACUAAUGUUGAAAAAUUAGCGGAUGACUUGUGGCUGGGGGUGAAAGGCCAAUCAAACCGGGAGAUAGCUGGUUCUCCCCGAAAUCUAUUUAGGUAGAGCCUUGAGGUGACACCUUUGGGGGUAGAGCACUGUUUCGGCUAGGGGUCCAUCCCGGAUUACCAACCCGAUGCAAACUACGAAUACCAAAGAGUGAUACUCAGGAGACACACGGCGGGUGCUAACGUCCGUCGUGGAGAGGGAAACAACCCAGACCGCCAGCUAAGGUCCCCAAGUCUAUAUUAAGUGGGAAACGAAGUGGGAAGGCUUAGACAGCUAGGAUGUUGGCUUAGAAGCAGCCAUCAUUUAAAGAAAGCGUAAUAGCUCACUAGUCGAGUCGGCCUGCGCGGAAGAUGUAACGGGGCUCAAAUAUAGCACCGAAGCUGCGGCAUCAGGCGUAUCACUAAUACGCCUUACGAUUAACAAGCUAGAAUAGCGCGAAGCGUCAUGAAAGGUUGUUCAAGCGACCCGAACGUUGAGUCGGGUAUAUUUGAGUGAGGAUGAUUAGUGAUACGCCUGUUGGGUAGGGGAGCGUUGUGUAAGCGGAAGAAGGUUCAUCGAGAGGUGGGCUGGACGUAUCACAAGUGCGAAUGCUGACAUAAGUAACGAUAAAACGGGUGAAAAACCCGUUCGCCGGAAGACCAAGGGUUCCUGUCCAACGUUAAUCGGGGCAGGGUGAGUCGGCUCCUAAGGCGAGGCUGAAAAGCGUAGUCGAUGGGAAACAGGUUAAUAUUCCUGUACUUGGUAAAGCUGCGAUGUGGGGACGGAGUAGGUUAGGUUAUCGCACUGUUGGAUAUGUGCGUUUAAGUUGGUAGGUGGGAAGUUUAGGCAAAUCCGGACUUCCUUAACACAGAGAGAUGAUGACGAGGCUCUACGGAGCUGAAGUAACUGAUACCACACUUCCAGGAAAAGCCACUAAGCGAAAGGCUUUACUAAACCGUACUAAAAACCGACACAGGUGGUCAGGUAGAGAAUACUCAGGCGCUUGAGAGAACUCGGGUGAAGGAACUAGGCAAAAUAGCACCGUAACUUCGGGAGAAGGUGCGCCGGCGUAGAUUGUAGUCCCUAGCGGGCGAAGGUUGAACCGGUCGAAGAUACCAGCUGGCUGCAACUGUUUAUUAAAAACACAGCACUCUGCAAACACGAAAGUGGACGUAUAGGGUGUGAUGCCUGCCCGGUGCUGGAAGGUUAAUUGAUGGUGUCAUCGAAAGAGAAGCACCUGAUCGAAGCCCCAGUAAACGGCGGCCGUAACUAUAACGGUCCUAAGGUAGCGAAAUUCCUUGUCGGGUAAGUUCCGACCUGCACGAAUGGCAUAAUGAUGGCCAGGCUGUCUCCACCCGAGACUCAGUGAAAUUGAAAUCGCCGUGAAGAUGCGGUGUACCCGCGGCUAGACGGAAAGACCCCGUGAACCUUUACUAUAGCUUGACACUGAACAUUGAAUUUUGAUGUGUAGGAUAGGUGGGAGACUUAGAAGCAGUCACGCCAGUGAUUGUGGAGUCAUCCUUGAAAUACCACCCUUUAACGUUUGAUGUUCUAACGAAGAUUGCGGAACGCGGUCUCGGACAGUGUCUGGUGGGUAGUUUGACUGGGGCGGUCUCCUCCCAAAGCGUAACGGAGGAGCACGAAGGUUUGCUAAUCACGGUCGGACAUCGUGAGGUUAGUGCAAUGGUAUAAGCAAGCUUAACUGCGAGACAGACAAGUCGAGCAGGUACGAAAGUAGGUCAUAGUGAUCCGGUGGUUCUGAAUGGAAGGGCCAUCGCUCAACGGAUAAAAGGUACUCCGGGGAUAACAGGCUGAUACCGCCCAAGAGUUCAUAUCGACGGCGGUGUUUGGCACCUCGAUGUCGGCUCAUCACAUCCUGGGGCUGAAGUAGGUCCCAAGGGUAUGGCUGUUCGCCAUUUAAAGUGGUACGCGAGCUGGGUUUAGAACGUCGUGAGACAGUUCGGUCCCUAUCUGCCGUGGGCGUAGGAGAAUUGGUUGGGGCUGCUCCUAGUACGAGAGGACCGGAGUGGACGCACCACUGGUGUUCCGGUUGUGUCGCCAGACGCAUUGCCGGGUAGCUAAGUGCGGAAGAGAUAAGUGCUGAAAGCAUCUAAGCACGAAACUUGCCAAGAGAUGAGUUCUCCCAAUCUAAGAGAUAGUAAGGGUUGUUGUAGACUACGACGUAGAUAGGUCUGGUGUGUAAGUGUAGUGAUACAUUGAGCUAACAGAUACUAAUUGCCCGAGAGGCUUAACUAU
rnacentral:rRNA from 1 species